CCAGACUCCUACGGGAGGCAGCAGUGAGGAAUAUUGGUCAAUGGUCGGGAGACUGAACCAGCCAAGCCGCGUGAGGGAUGAAGGUACAGAGUAUCGUAAACCUCUUUUGUCAGGGAACAAAGGCGGGGACGCGUCCCCGGAUGAGUGUACCUGAAGAAAAAGCAUCGGCUAACUCCGUGCCAGCAGCCGCGGUAAUACGGAGGAUGCGAGCGUUAUCCGGAUUUAUUGGGUUUAAAGGGUGCGUAGGCGGGAUGACAAGUGAGCGGUAAAAUGCGGGGGCCCACCCCGCGGCCGCCGUUGAAACUGGCGUUCUUGAGUGGGCGAGAAGUACGCGGAAUGCGUGGUGUAGCGGUGAAAUGCAUAGAUAUCACGCAGAACCCCGAUUGCGAAGGCAGCGUACCGGCGCCCGACUGACGCUGAAGCACGACAGCGUGGGUAUCGAACAGGAUUAGAUACCCGCGUA
rnacentral:rRNA from 1 species